AGAGUACGUGAAACCGCUUAGAGGUAAACGGGUGGAUCCGCAAAGUCGGCCCGGGGAAUUCAACUUGCCGUUGGAGGACCCUUGGGUCAGGGAUCCGUAAGGACCCGCCUGGCGUUCGGCUGUCGUCGGCGAGUGCACUUUCCUCGGGUAUAGCGCCACGACCGGUUUCGGGGCAGUCAGAAGCCAGUCGGGAAGGUAGCCUGCCCUUCGGGGGAGGUGUUAUAGCCCGGCCAGGUCGGCUCGUCUCGAGACCGAGGAUUUGCCGCGUCUCAUUGCCCACGGCUCUCUUCCUGCGUUCGACUGGGGAAGCACUGCUUGCAGUUCUCCCCGACCGCGUGGGUCGAUUCGGUCGUGAAGCACGAGGCGCUUCGGGUCAGUGGCGAAUCGGUCGGUCCUCCACCCGAC
rnacentral:rRNA from 1 species